rnacentral:rRNA from 1 species
CAAUCGAACCCGGAGAUAGCUGGUUCUCCCCGAAAUAGUUUUAGGACUAGCCUCGGAUAAGAAUCUGGUGGGGGUAAAGCACUGAAUGGGCUAGGGGGCAUACCAGCUUACCAACCCCAAUCAAACUCUGAAUACCAUCAGAUGUUUUCCGGGAGUCAGGCGCAGUGAGAUAAGUUUCUGUGUCUCGAGGGAAACAGCCCAGACCGUCGGCUAAGGUCCCAAAGUAUAUGCUGAGUGGGAAAGGAUGUGGAGGUCCUCAGACAGCCAGGAGGUUGGCUUAGAAGCAGCCAUUCCUUUAAAGAGUGCGUAAUAGCUCACUGGUCGAGGGCUUCUGCGCCGAAAAUGUAACGGGGCUAAGCAUAUCACCGAAGCCACGGGUCUAGUGUGAUUUCGUAUCACAUUGGGCGGUAGGGGAGCGUUCUGUGUGUAGGAAGAAGGCAUACCGCGAGGAGUGCUGGACGAAGCAGAAGUGAGAAUGUCGGAACGAGUAGCGAUAAGACGGGUGAGAAACCCGUUCGCCGUAAACCUAAGGUUUCCUGGGGAAGGUUAAUCCUCCCAGGGUUAGUCGGUCCUAAGCCGAGGCCGAGAGGCGUAGGUGAAGGGAAGCAGGUUAAUAUUCCGCACCAUGGAUCAGUUGUUUUAUCGAUGGAGUGACGCAGGGGGUUAUGCCCGCACGGUUUGAUAGGCCGUGUCGAAGGGUGUAGGCUGAUCACACAGGGAAAUCCGUGUGGUCGUUACAAGCUGAGGCCUGACAGGCCACCGAAUCUAAGUAGGUGGAAGGAGCAGAUACCGCGCUGCCGAGAAAAGCUUCUAAGAGAGACUGAUUUGUGACCGUACCGUAAACCGACACAGGUGGGUGAGGAGAAUAUCCUAAGGCGCUCGAAAGAACCCACGUUAAGGAACUCGGCAAAUUGACUCCGUAACUUCGGGAGAAGGAGUGCUCUGGUAGGGUGACUGGACUGCGUUUAAAUAUGCAUGCGAAAGGUAGCCCGAGAGAGUCGCAGAGAAUAGGCUCAGGCGACUGUUUAUCAAAAACACAGGACUCUGCUAACGCGUAUAGCCGACGUAUAGGGUCUGACGCCUGCCCAGUGCUGGAAGGUUACGGGGAGGGGUUAGGAGUGGUAACAUUCCGAAGCUCUGAACUUAAGCCCCAGUGAAUGGCGGCCGUAACUAUAACGGUCCUAAGGUAGCGAAAUCCCUUGUCAGGUAAGUUCUGACCCGCAUGAAUGGCGUAACGGUCUGAGCACUGUCUCAACGUGGGGUUCGGCGAAACUGUGCACCGGGUGAAGACGCCCGGUAUCCGCAUCAGGACAAAAAGACCCCGUGGAGCUUUACUGUAGCUUGAUAUUGGAUUUUGGCCUGUUAUGUAGAGCAUAGGUGGGAGACUAUGAAGCUAGGGCGCCAGCCUUGGUGGAGUCAACAAUGGAAUACCACCCUUAUCAGUCUGGAAUUCUAACCUUGGCCCGUGAUCCGGGUUGGGGACAGUGUCAGGUGGGCAGUUUGACUGGGGCGGUCGCCUCCUAAAGAGUAACGGAGGCGUUCAAAGGUUCCCUCAGCGUGAUUGGAAACCACGCGCAGAGUGUAAAGGCAAAAGGGAGCUUGACUGUGAGGCAAACAAGCCGAUCAGGGACGAAAGUCGGACUUAGUGAUCCGGUGGUACCGAAUGGAAGGGCCAUCGCUCAACGGAUAAAAGCUACCCCGGGGAUAACAGGCUUAUCUCCCCCAAGAGUCCACAUCGACGGGGAGGUUUGGCACCUCGAUGUCGGCUCAUCGCAUCCUGGGGCUGGAGUAGGUCCCAAGGGUUGGGCUGUUCGCCCAUUAAAGCGGUACGUGAGCUGGGUU